UACGUAGGGCGCAAGCGUUGUCCGGAAUUAUUGGGCGUAAAGAGCUCGUAGGCGGUUUGUCGCGUCUGCUGUGAAAACCUAAAGCUCAACCUUGGGCUUGCAGUGGGUACGGGCAGACUAGAGUGCGGUAGGGGUGACUGGAAUUCCUGGUGUAGCGGUGGAAUGCGCAGAUAUCAGGAGGAACACCGGUGGCGAAGGCGGGGUCUCUGGGCCGAUACUGACGCUGGAGGAGCGAAAAGCCGUGGGGGAGCGAACAGG
rnacentral:rRNA from 1 species